rnacentral:snRNA from 1 species
GGAUGUGAGGGUAAUCUGGCUGUCCUCACACUGAUACUCAGGGUUGAUUCAGCUGAUCUGGUUGGCUAGGCAGGUGUCCCCUUCCUCCCUCAUCAUUCCAUGUGCAUCCCUCCUAAAGCUGCACACACUGUGGAAAAGGAUGGCCUUCCUGGAAUAGAGAUGGACCAGUAUAAGGGUAUAAGAGUAGCUGCACUCCCCUGCUAGAACCUCCAAACAAGCUCUCAGAAAAGUAGCCCUUGACCUCUACAGGAAGGGCACAUUCCCAUCCUGGAACUAUCUAUACCACUAGAGAUCUCCUGCAGGAAAGGUUGGGCAGGAUCACAUAGAUU